UCCGGAUUUAUUGGGCGUAAAGGGAGCGCAGGCGGUCAGGAAAGUCUGGAGUAAAAGGNUAUGGCUCAACCAUAGUGUGCUCUGGAAACUGUNUGACUUGAGUGCAGAAGGGGAGAGUGGAAUUCCAUGUGUAGCGGUGAAAUGCGUAGAUAUAUGGAGGAACACCAGUGGCGAAAGCGGCUCUCUGGUCUGUCACUGACGCUGAGGCUCGAAAGCGUGGGUAGCGAACAGGAUUAGAUACCCUGGUAGUCCACGCCGUAAACGAUGAGUGCUAGGUGUUAGGCCCUUUCCGGGGCUUAGUGCCGGAGCUAACGCAAUAAGCACUCCGCCUGGGGAGUACGACCGCAAGGUUGAAACUCAAAGGAAUUGACGGGGGCCCGCACAAGCGGUGGAGCAUGCGGUUUAAUUCGAAGCAACGCGAAGAACCUUACCAGGUCUUGACAUCCCGAUGCUAUUCUUAGAGAUAGGAAGUUACUUCGGUACAUCGGAGACAGGUGGUGCAUGGUUGUCGUCAGCUCGUGUCGUGAGAUGUUGGGUUAAGUCCCGCAACGAGCGCAACCCUUAUUGUUAGUUGCCAUCAUUAAGUUGGGCACUCUAGCGAGACUGCCGGUAAUAAACCGGAGGAAGGUGGGGAUGACGUCAAAUCAUCAUGCCCCUUAUGACCUGGGCUACACACGUGCUACAAUGGUCGGUACAACGAGUUGCGAGCCGGUGACGGCAAGCUAAUCUCUGAAAGCCGAUCUCAGUUCGGAUUGGAGGCUGCAACUCGCCUCCAUGAAGUCGGAAUCGCUAGUAAUCGCGGAUCAGCACGCCGCGGUGAAUACGUUCCCGGGCCUUGUACACACCGCCCGUCACACCACGAGAGUUUGUAACACCCGAANUCG
rnacentral:rRNA from 1 species